rnacentral:rRNA from 1 species
AUUGAACGCUGGCGGCAUGCUUUACACAUGCAAGUCGAACGGUAACAGGCCGCAAGGUGCUGACGAGUGGCGAACGGGUGAGUAAUGCAUCGGAACGUGCCCAGUCGUGGGGGAUAACGCAGCGAAAGCUGCGCUAAUACCGCAUACGAUCUCUGGAUGAAAGCGGGGGACCGAAAGGCCUCGCGCGAUUGGAGCGGCCGAUGUCAGAUUAGGUAGUUGGUGGGGUAAAGGCUCACCAAGCCAACGAUCUGUAGCUGGUCUGAGAGGACGACCCGCCACACUGGGACUGAGACACGGCCCAGACUCCUACGGGAGGCAGCAGUGGGGAAUUUUGGACAAUGGGCGCAAGCCUGAUCCAGCAACGCCGCGUGCAGGAAGAAGGCCUUCGGGUUGUAAACUGCUUUUGUACGGAACGAAACGGUCCUGGUUAAUACCUGGGGCUAAUGACGGUACCGUAAGAAUAAGCACCGGCUAACUACGUGCCAGCAGCCGGCCGUAAGAC